CUGCUCUGUGGCCUCUCACAGGCUUUUUUCCUGCUCUUUCAGUUUAGAACCUGAGGAACCAGCCACGGAGCCGUCGGCCUUCAUGGAGCGGGAUGCUGGGAGCGGGCUGGUGAUGUGUCUCUGCGAGUGGCCAGCCCUGCUGGUCAGCAGCACAGGCUGGACAGAGUUUGAGCAACUGACUCUUGAUGGACACAACCUUCCUUCUCUCGUCUGU
rnacentral:lncRNA from 1 species